GUUUCUGUGGCCUAGUGGUUAUGGCAUCUGUCUUACAAGAGGCUCUUGUCCUCUGUGAUCACAGAAGAUCCCCGGUUCGAUCCCGGGCAGGAACA
rnacentral:tRNA from 1 species